rnacentral:lncRNA from 1 species
GUCAUGGUAAUUGUUUUAUUUCUUUUGACAGGUGGUAUUCACAUGGAUGGAUGGGAGAGGAAGUUCUCGUUUGCGGGCCUUCCAUCGUGUUCUGGGCAAACAGCUGCAUUGCCAAGUGAAGGCUUGUAGCUACAGCUCAGCUGAUGGACUGAACUACAGUUUCAAAGCAGUUCAAGGCUGGGAUGAAGUUUCGUUUUGUGGCUGCUCCAUUGUCUUUGAACUCAAAGAAGAGUUGGGCAGGUAUGAAGGAAAGAAAGAACAAACCCCACGAUUUCACUGAGAAAAAAAAGAAGAAAGCUGGAGGAAGAAGUUGAAAAAAAUAACCAAAGGCACUGUCUGUGAUUGUCCCCUCUUGGUGCAGCAUCCAGGCCACUGUGAUGUACCCAUCGGCCAAUCGUGCUUGUGCCCACCUGCNCGCUACACAAGCCUGCCAGUCAUCAGCAGCCAGAUGCUUUGCAGCCACCGNCGUGGUGAGGAUUAGGCAUGGCUACCAGCAUUUGCACCGCAAAUGCCAGUAGUUGGCUUCAGCAAGGUUUCCAGUCAUGCAGUGUGGAAAGUAUCCACACAUCAUGGUCUAUUCCACCUUAGAAUGGGAUAAUUAUUCCAUUCUAAGGUGGAGAUUGUGAAAGGGUCCCCUCCCUCUAGUUUCCUCUACCUUUACACAAACCACGCUACUGUUCUUUUCCUUAUGUUUUCUUGAAUUCCUUUCUGCUGUAUAGGCUAAUACAUUUGAUUAUAAGAACUCAUAUUAAAGUGCCAUUUCC